rnacentral:rRNA from 1 species
UACCAGCACCCCGAGUGGUUGGGACGAUUAUUGGGCCUAAAGCAUCCGUAGCCGGUCCUACAAGUCUUCCGUUAAAUCCACCUGCUUAACAGAUGGGCUGCGGAAGAUACUAUAGGGCUAGGAGGCGGGAGGGGCAAGCGGUACUCAGUGGGUAGGGGUAAAAUCCUCUGAUCCAUUGAAGACCACCAGUGGCGAAGGCGGCUUGCCAGAACGCGCUCGACGGUGAGGGAUGAAAGCUGGGGGAGCAAACCGG